rnacentral:rRNA from 1 species
GACGAACGCUGGCGGCGUGCCUAAUACAUGCAAGUAGGACGCACAGUCUAUACCGUAGCUUGCUACACCAUAGGCUGUGAGUUGCGAACGGGUGAGUAACGCGUAGGUAACCUGCCUAUUAGAGGGGGAUAACUAUUGGAAACGAUAGCUAAUACCGCAUAACAGUAUGUAACACAUGUUAGAUGCUUGAAAGAUGCAAUUGCAUCGCUAGUAGAUGGACCUGCGUUGUAUUAGCUAGUAGGUAGGGUAAUGGCCUACCUAGGCAACGAUACAUAGCCGACCUGAGAGGGUGAUCGGCCACACUGGGACUGAGACACGGCCCAGACUCCUACGGGAGGCAGCAGUAGGGAAUCUUCGGCAAUGGGGGGAACCCUGACCGAGCAACGCCGCGUGAGUGAAGAAGGUUUUCGAAUCGUAAAGCUCUGUUGUUAAGGAAGAACGAGUGUGAGAAUGGAAAGUUCAUACUGUG